GAUGAACGCUGGCGGCGUGCCUAAUACAUGCAAGUAGAACGCUGAAGGAAGGAGCUUGCUCUUUCCGGAUGAGUUGCGAACGGGUGAGUAACGCGUAGGUAACCUGCCUGGUAGCGGGGGAUAACUAUUGGAAACGAUAGCUAAUACCGCAUAACAGUAGAUGUUGCAUGAUAUCUACUUAAAAGGUGCAAUUGCACCACUACCAGAUGGACCUGCGUUGUAUUGGCUAGUUGGUGAGGUAACGGCGCACCAAGGCGACGAUACAUAGUCGCACUGAGAGGGUGGUUAGCCGCACUGGGAGGGGGACCGGCCCCAGUGUCCUUCGGGAGGCGCCCGUACGGAAUCGUCAGCCAGGGACGGAAGUCUUUCCAAGAUGGGCCGAAGCAGGGAGGAGGGACGUCGGGUGCGGAAGCUCGGUUGUCGGGGAGUAACGCGUUUUCGAGUGUAAAGUUCAGUCAGUGACGGUAACUGAUCAAAAAGCAACGGCUAACUACGUG
rnacentral:rRNA from 1 species